CUGGGAGCCAAACGAAGUGCCCUCCCGCUGAGACCACGUAGAAUAUUCUGGAAGAGAUCUGAGAGGAGGGCAGCUCGACUAGGCUUUCUUGUUUGCUUCAGGCUGCUGAGGAAAAUCCUCCUUUGGCAUUCAGAGAUUGCAGUGAAGUGGGACUCUCCUGCCUGGAGGCGUUCAUGAGCUGUAUUUAGAGAAAAACACUAAGAUUCCAUUAAGUUCUUCAAGAAGGCAGCUGUGGAGUGCUAGAGCACUUGACCUAAGGCUGUGGGAUCUGCAUUGCAUUCCUACCUGGCCUGCUUUCUGCU